UCAUCCACCGCCACCGCUAGAAAUUCUUCUUCCUCAGGAGUUCGUCUUCCUCACGGGUCAGCCACCAAAAGCCGCCUUCAUCUCCAUCGAUACACCAUCAACCUCUCGUCAACCACACUCCCAACACGCCACCUUCGUGCCUGAACCUCCAUAAACCUUGUCAGACCUGCGAACAAACCCAUCGCUGCGGAUAUCACCAUAUUCGUCUUCCUCGCAUCAACACCAAUCUCCUUCGAAUCUCCAUCAGACCAUUCGAAACCUGCAAGAAAAAACAUAAUCACAGAGUCAUUAGCAUAUACUAAAACCCUAACGAACCCUCUCCAGUGCACUCUUCUGCCAUGGCCCUUCUUCUCCGUCUCAAUCGUCGGAGGGCAACCAGCUCUCGCACCCUCUUCUUCUCUACUUCGAAUUCCGAUUCUAACUCCGACUCCAACUCUCCCUUCUCUUCCCUUUUCAUAGAUGUCAAGGAAAGUCUCAAACAACCCUCUUCACCUUCCUCAAACCCUCGCUCCCAACCACCCUUCGCAAACGAGAUCCUAAAAAACCUCAGCGAGUUCGGCGCCAAGACCGGUCCACCUCCGCCGGGCGACCCGUCGCAGCAGCAACAGCAAUUCUCGUUCCAGCAAAUCUACCAGCGCCAGACCGUGCAGGGGAAUCCCCCCAGAUCGGGAGAAUCGUCCUCCCCCAGCAUGGAAUCCAUUUUCGGGAGCCUGCGGAACUUGUCUGUUGCCCAAACCCCGGUGUCGCAGGCUCCUCCAAUUUCUUUUGUUAGUGUUCUGUGUUCAUAGAAUGAUGUUCAUUCUCGUAAAGGAUUGGUGGCAAUGGUUCAGAUGAGAAAAAGAUUACUGAAAUACCUCAGAAGAACUGAUUGGGAUUCCUAUUGCUUUGUUAUCUCUAAGCUGGGUCUUCGUGAUAAUCCUGAUCAUAGCUAUAGAUCUCGAACUAGUAUGGCAACUUAGGUUGCAUAUCUGGUGGCAGAUUAGAUGAAAGAAACCCCAACAUGAACAUAUUGGAAAGAAAACCAGCCGCACGAUGAAAAGUCGGCUGGGUUGUGCAUUUUUAUUGGGGUCAAUCAGGUAUGAACCAAACUGCUCAAGUGGCUGAAUCACUGGCUUUCAGGUCUGGUUUUUACAACUACAAUCCUCACAUCAAUUACUGAUGCAAUUUGUUAUUCCAGUUUUUGUGUACGAGGAGAUUAAUAUUCUGAUCAGUUCCUUCAAUUAUUUUAUACCGGCCUUGGGUGGAUUAUUGUUUUGUACAA